rnacentral:misc_RNA from 1 species
UUGGAAAAACGGGGGAUGGACUUGUUUAGUUCUUGUUGUAAUAUUCGUUGUGUUUGUUUUGCAAUAAUAUAUCAAUUGUAGUGUAAAAAGUAUUGUGCUUUCGUGUUUGCAAGCUCCCCCACACAUACUUAGAUAUUGUUGAACCUGCCCCGGUAAACAAAAAGCAAAAUGAAAACAAACGUCGCCGCUGCGGCCGUCAUUCGAAAAUCAAACGCGCAACAGAGCACAACACGGAUAUUCACAUCCACCCCAAAUAAUAGUCGUCAGCGGACAGAAAUUACAUCGCCACUUUUCCGUAACUGUGUAGGUGCAGUCGAAGCGGCUGACAAGGGCGGCGUAGGCGUGGGCGUGACACUGACAACCUUCGACCCGCGGCUCAAGAAAGCAGCGCUUUUUCUGGGUAUACUCAUCAUUGGAUACAAGAGCGUCAUUCUAAGCAUGCCGUACAUCAACACAGACAGUGUUCAACAGUUGACCGGCUUUGUACAGGGUCAAUGGAGCGAGGCCUUGGGAUGGUCUGAGAGGCACCAACUGGUCUCCAAGUUGAGCCCACUGUUGUGUGGCCUCAUCGUGGCCACAUUCGCCUACGGAAUGGUUUACUUGGACAGCGCAGUGCCAGGUGUGACGCCACCCUCGCCCUUUUCGCCCCGUUCGAAACAGCGGUUCCGUCAGCAGAAGAGUGCGUCGCUUCACUUGGGCUAUCUGUGCGCUCUGUUCUCCGGAUUGCUGGUUACGAUCUUUAUGUACUUUGAUUUUUAACAUUAGAGCAGAGCCCGCUUCCUUCCAUUUAGAAAAUUAUUCAACAGUAUUAGAUUUAACUUUAUUUCUUUUGUAUUUCCUGUGGAAUCUGUGUUUGUAUUUAUUCUAUAUGUAAAUGUUAAAGUGUAAAGUGUUAAUGUGCAAGGCUACUGGAGAGCCAAAGUCAAAGGAAAAACUGGAAACAUUGGGGCAUUUUGGAGCCAACUUAGUUCCUAGUACAAAAUGAAAAUAUCCAGUAAGGACCUUAGACCAGAACAGGCGAUUCCAGGAAUACAUAGUUUCAAUUGUAGAACUGCUCUCUGGUCUUAGAGUCUUGGGAGAAAACCCGUAGUAUUAACUUUCUAAAAAUUAUAAAAAUUUUUUUGCACUAAAAUAUACAUAUGUAAUAAAAUUCCUUAUGGCAUAUCUAUA